CACCGCGGUUAUACGAAUUUGCCCAAGUUGAUAGGUAUCGGCGUAAAGCGUGGUUAGGGAUUUUAACCAAAAACUAAAGCCGAACGUCCUCAAAGCUGUUAUACGCUUCCGAAAGAACGAAGUUCUCCAACGAAAGUAGCUUUAAUUCCCAACCUGACCCCACGAAAGCUGUAAAA
rnacentral:rRNA from 1 species